CGAUGGCCACGCGCGUGGAGCACCCGCUUCUCAGUUCCACCGUCGCGGCCAUGGAGAUAGGCCACCGUCAUCGCCUCUCCGUGGCAUACCAUCAUCACCGGUCGGGGCUCAUGUAGAGGAAGACCAUCGUCCUCUACAUUUGGUGACCCGGACGAAGAACGUCACGUCCGGAGCAAUUCGGCCCUUCACCAUCCCAAAUUUGUGACGACAUCAUCGAGCCGCCCUACCUCCGGCACACACGUGCUUCACAGAUUGAGCCGCCUUCACUCCUACCGCAUCUCGGUACUCUUCACUCCUGUUCUCACGCUCCUCACUGCCGGCCGCGACACUCGAGCCUUGAGCUCACCUGCCGGUCGCGGCAGUCGCGGCAGCCGACGCCUCGGCUUCGGCUCCCGUGCCGGUCGCGGCACGCUGGACGACGACAAUGACUGCAACGAUGGCCACGCGCGUGGAGCACCUGCUUCUCAGUUCCACCGGCGCGGCCAUGGAGAUAGGCCACCGUCAUCGCCUCUCCGUGGCAUACCGUCAUCGCCGGUCGGGGCUCAUGUAGAGUAAGACCAUCGUCUUCUACAUUCGUGUCGUGUUUGCUGAACUCGUUAUGCUACCGAUGACUGCGAAGAUGCCGUAGAAGGCGAAUUGCGAAGACGUCCGAAGCAAACUGCCGUUCAGUAACCAGUGAUUUUGCUUUACCGAGGUGACGAGUUGAACACAACGUCUUAGGGGCCUUCCAGCGUUGAAGUGGCGCAAGACUGCUUCGUGUGCGUGUGAUCCAGGCACUCAAGUUGACAUGGCAGAAAUAGCUGAAAACAGGUUUUACAACUCUAUCAAGCAUGUCAAAACAUCAGUGGGCAGGAAGUUAAUUCUGCUCUGUUUCCUAAAUCCCCUGACAAUA